rnacentral:rRNA from 1 species
GAUGAACGCUAGCGGCAGGCUUAAUACAUGCAAGUCGAACGGUAAGUUUGGUAGCAAUAUCAAACCAAGAGUGACGUACGGGUGCGUAACACGUAUGCAACCUACCUUGUACAGGAGUAUAGCUCGGGGAAACUCGAAUUAACCCUCCAUGAGAUCAUAGAAUGGCAUCAUUUAGUGAAUUAAAACUCAGGUGGUACAAGAUGGGCAUGCGUCUG